rnacentral:rRNA from 1 species
GACGAACGCUGGCGGCGUGCUUAACACAUGCAAGUCGAACGGAAAGGCCCUGCUUUUGUGGGGUGCUCGAGUGGCGAACGGGUGAGUAACACGUGAGUAACCUGCCCUUGACUUUGGGAUAACUUCAGGAAACUGGGGCUAAUACCGGAUAGGAGCUCCUGCUGCAUGGUGGGGGUUGGAAAGUUUCGGCGGUUGGGGAUGGACUCGCGGCUUAUCAGCUUGUUGGUGGGGUAGUGGCUUACCAAGGCUUUGACGGGUAGCUGGCCUGAGAGGGUGACCGGCCAAAUUGGGACUGAGAUACGGCCCAGACUCCUACGGGAGGCAGCAGUGGGGAAUAUUGCACAAUGGGCGGAAGCCUGAAGCAGCAACGCCGCGUGCGGGAUGACGGCCUUCGGGUUGUAAACCGCUUUCGCCUGUGACGAAGCGUGAGUGACGGUAAUGGGUAAAGAAGCACCGGCUAACUACGUG